GUUUUAGAAAAACAGGAAGAUGAUCGACAUCUGCUCUUUGGGAUGUGUUUGUCAGGGCCCUCAAGACAUGCGGACUCUGCAGAAACACAUCUAACUAAUGGUUUGAGGAAACCUCAUUUAAACUUUGAAACUGUUUAACAAGUUUUUUUAUUGACCUGUUGUUACACUAAGCCAAACAAACAAGGAGAGACAGUCUGGGGUCGGUGGACUCUGCGGGAGCACUUCGUGGGCACAUGAGAGGAUCCCCAACGGCAGGCAAAAGACUGGCCAAUCGACCGGCUGUCCUUAUACCACUCGAAGCCAGCUCCAGCCUUCGGGAUGCCAGCAGCCACCGUCCCAGCAAGUCAGUGCAGGCACGAGAGGAUACAGCCCUCUAGUCACCAGAGUGGAGCGUGUUGCUGGACAGCGUUACCAAGGAGAGUGCCCAGAGGUCAUCUCCCCUCCCGACUAUCACCAGCAGGAAGGUGCAGGCAUCAGGCACAUAUCCAAACUGCUCACACAGGAAGCCACAGCUGAUGGCUCUGAAAUUUGACCUCUUGGGAAGCGAGGCAGAAGGGAGGUCCUGCUGCGUGAGAAGAGUACGGAGCUAGUCCAUGCGGUGUUCUGCACCAGCCCUCAGCACACUCUAACCCUCAUGGCAGACCGCAUUUGGCCAGGUGCACUCCAGCCAAGGCUUUCCAGAGAAGCACAAACUGCUUGUUAUCGCCAUUAACUGGGUUAAAGCCUAAGCCACCAGGAAAGCAGGGCCAGGUUCGUUUAUGGGGUGAUAAUUAUACAAUCCAGAUGAUCACAUGGGUCUGUUGGUGCUGCAAACCAAAUAGAACAUUUCAAAUCUGGCCUUUGUCCAAAGGAAGAUACUUUUGCAAAAAUCGUUUUUUUUAAUUGUUUUUCCAAAAAUUUGUCCAGCUUCAACCCCACAAUGUUGCCAGCUUGGACACCGUGAGGGUGGUGGGGGUUGUUUAAAUUUCCAUGA